rnacentral:rRNA from 1 species
UACGGAGGGUGCGAGCGUUGUCCGGAAUCACUGGGCGUAAAGGGCGCGUAGGCGGCCUGGUAAGUAGGGGAUGAAAUCCUGCGGCUUAACCGCAGGGCUGCCUUCUAAACUGUCAGGCUAGAGCACAGUAGAGGCAGGUGGAAUUCCCGGUGUAGCGGUGGAAUGCGUAGAGAUCGGGAAGAACAUCAGUGGCGAAGGCGGCCUGCUGGGCUGUUGCUGACGCUGAGGCGCGACAGCGUGGGGAGCAAACAGG